AACGAACGCUGGCGGCAUGCCUAACACAUGCAAGUCGAACGAGACCUUCGGGUCUAGUGGCGCACGGGUGCGUAACGCGUGGGAACCUGCCCUUAGGUUCGGAAUAACUCCCCGAAAGGGGUGCUAAUACCGGAUAAUGUCUUCGGACCAAAGAUUUAUCGGCUUUGGAUGGGCCCGCGUUGGAUUAGCUAGUUGGUAGGGUAAAAGCCUACCAAGGCGACGAUCCAUAGCUGGUCUGAGAGGAUGAUCAGCCACACUGGGACUGAGACACGGCCCAGACUCCUACGGGAGGCAGCAGUGGGGAAUAUUGGACAAUGGGCGAAAGCCUGAUCCAGCAAUGCCGCGUGAGUGAUGAAGGCCUUAGGGUUGUAAAGCUCUUUUACCCGGGAUGAUAAUGACAGUAACGGGAGAAUAAGCUACGGCUAACUCCGUG
rnacentral:rRNA from 1 species